GUGAUUGAGGAACUUUUGGAUGAAUUACAUGGAGCAGUCUGGUUCUCCAAGUUGGAUCUUCGAGCAGGCUACCAUCAGAUAAGGUUGGCAGAAGGGGAGGACUACAAAACAACGUUCCAAACACACUUCGGAAAUUAUGAAUUCAAAGUGGUUUCAUCCGGGCUAGUAGGGGGACCACCCACCUUCAACGGGGCGAUACAUACCACCUUACAUCCUCUUCUUCGACACUGCAUGCUGCUGUUCUUCGAUGACAUUCUCGUAUUCGGUAAGACCUUGGAGGACCAUGUGAGCCAUCUUACACAGGUGUUCCAGCUGCUACAACGCGAUCAAUGGAAGGUGAAACUCUCCAAGUGUGAGUUUGGCCAA
rnacentral:rRNA from 1 species